UACGUAGGGGGCAAGCGUUGUCCGGAUUUAUUGGGCGUAAAGAGCGUGUAGGCGGCCUGGUAGGUCAGCUGUGAAAACUCGAGGCUCAACCUCGAGGCGCCGGUUGAAACCAUCAGGCUAGAGUCCGGAAGAGGAGAGUGGAAUUCCCGGUGUAGCGGUGAAAUGCGCAGAUAUCGGGAAGAACACCCGUGGCUAAGGCGGCUCUCUAGUACGGUACUGACGCUGAGACGCGAAAGCGUGGGGAGCGAACAGG
rnacentral:rRNA from 1 species